rnacentral:piRNA from 1 species
UUACUCUGGAAAUAAAGCUUGGGUUG